GGUUAAGCGACUAAGCGUACACGGUGGAUGCCCUGGCAGUCAGAGGCGAUGAAGGACGUGCUAAUCUGCGAUAAGCGUCGGUAAGGUGAUAUGAACCGUUAUAACCGGCGAUUUCCGAAUGGGGAAACCCAGUGUGAUUCGUCACACUAUCAUUAACUGAAUCCAUAGGUUAAUGAGGCGAACCGGGGGAACUGAAACAUCUAAGUACCCCGAGGAAAAGAAAUCAACCGAGAUUCCCCCAGUAGCGGCGAGCGAACGGGGAGCAGCCCAGAGCCUGAAUCAGUGUGUGUGUUAGUGGAAGCGUCUGGAAAGGCGCGCGAUACAGGGUGACAGCCCCGUACACAAAAAUGCACAUACUGUGAGCUCGAUGAGUAGGGCGGGACACGUGGUAUCCUGUCUGAAUAUGGGGGGACCAUCCUCCAAGGCUAAAUACUCCUGACUGACCGAUAGUGAACCAGUACCGUGAGGGAAAGGCGAAAAGAACCCCGGCGAGGGGAGUGAAAAAGAACCUGAAACCGUGUACGUACAAGCAGUGGGAGCACGCUUAGGCGUGUGACUGCGUACCUUUUGUAUAAUGGGUCAGCGACUUAUAUUCUGUAGCAAGGUUAACCGAAUAGGGGAGCCGAAGGGAAACCGAGUCUUAACUGGGCGUUAAGUUGCAGGGUAUAGACCCGAAACCCGGUGAUCUAGCCAUGGGCAGGUUGAAGGUUGGGUAACACUAACUGGAGGACCGAACCGACUAAUGUUGAAAAAUUAGCGGAUGACUUGUGGCUGGGGGUGAAAGGCCAAUCAAACCGGGAGAUAGCUGGUUCUCCCCGAAAGCUAUUUAGGUAGCGCCUCGUGAAUUCAUCUCCGGGGGUAGAGCACUGUUUCGGCAAGGGGGUCAUCCCGACUUACCAACCCGAUGCAAACUGCGAAUACCGGAGAAUGUUAUCACGGGAGACACACGGCGGGUGCUAACGUCCGUCGUGAAGAGGGAAACAACCCAGACCGCCAGCUAAGGUCCCAAAGUCAUGGUUAAGUGGGAAACGAUGUGGGAAGGCCCAGACAGCCAGGAUGUUGGCUUAGAAGCAGCCAUCAUUUAAAGAAAGCGUAAUAGCUCACUGGUCGAGUCGGCCUGCGCGGAAGAUGUAACGGGGCUAAACCAUGCACCGAAGCUGCGGCAGCGACGCUUAUGCGUUGUUGGGUAGGGGAGCGUUCUGUAAGCCUGCGAAGGUGUGCUGUGAGGCAUGCUGGAGGUAUCAGAAGUGCGAAUGCUGACAUAAGUAACGAUAAAGCGGGUGAAAAGCCCGCUCGCCGGAAGACCAAGGGUUCCUGUCCAACGUUAAUCGGGGCAGGGUGAGUCGACCCCUAAGGCGAGGCCGAAAGGCGUAGUCGAUGGGAAACAGGUUAAUAUUCCUGUACUUGGUGUUACUGCGAAGGGGGGACGGAGAAGGCUAUGUUGGCCGGGCGACGGUUGUCCCGGUUUAAGCGUGUAGGCUGGUUUUCCAGGCAAAUCCGGAAAACUAAGGCUGAGGCGUGAUGACGAGGCACUACGGUGCUGAAGCAACAAAUGCCCUGCUUCCAGGAAAAGCCUCUAAGCAUCAGGUAACAUCAAAUCGUACCCCAAACCGACACAGGUGGUCAGGUAGAGAAUACCAAGGCGCUUGAGAGAACUCGGGUGAAGGAACUAGGCAAAAUGGUGCCGUAACUUCGGGAGAAGGCACGCUGAUAUGUAGGUGAAGUCCCUCGCGGAUGGAGCUGAAAUCAGUCGAAGAUACCAGCUGGCUGCAACUGUUUAUUAAAAACACAGCACUGUGCAAACACGAAAGUGGACGUAUACGGUGUGACGCCUGCCCGGUGCCGGAAGGUUAAUUGAUGGGGUC
rnacentral:rRNA from 1 species